UUGGAGGGCAAGUCUGGUGCCAGCAGCCGCGGUAAUUCCAGCUCCAAUAGCGUAUAUUAAAGUUGUUGCAGUUAAAAAGCUCGUAGUUGAAUUUCGGGGUUCUACCGUUGGUCGGGCUUUGUCUGUACUGGCGUGUAGAAUUUCUACCUUCUGGGGAACCAUCAUGUUAUUAAUUUAGCGUGGUGGGAAACCAGGACCUUUACCUUGAAAAAAUUAGAGUGUUCAAAGCAGGCUUAUGUCUGAAUACAUUAGCAUGGAAUAAUAGAAUAGGACGGUGGUCCUGUUUUGUUGGUUUCUGAAUCACCGUAAUGAUUAAUAGGGAUAGUUGGGGGCAUUAGUAUUCAAUUGUCAGAGGUGAAAUUCUUGGAUUUAUUGAAGACUAACUUCUGCGAAAGCAUUUGCCAAGGAUGUUUUCAUUAAUCAAGAACGAAAGUUAGGGGAUCGAAGACGAUCAGAUACCGUCGUAGUCUUAACCAUAAACUAUGCCGACUAGGGAUCGGACGAUGUUAACUUUUCUUGACUCGUUCGGCGCCUUACGGGAAAC
rnacentral:rRNA from 1 species